rnacentral:ncRNA from 1 species
AAGGAAAACCCCCACUAUCUUUCUUACGAACUUGGCGGAACGACGAAAGAUAGUGGGGGCCUCACAGAAUACGGGUAAAGUAUAAUGAAACCGUACCAGAGAUUCAACCCUGUGCA